rnacentral:rRNA from 1 species
GACGUAGGAUGCAAGCGUUGUCCGGAUUUAUUGGGCGUAAAGAGAGCGUAGGCGGUUUCUUAAGUCUGAAGUUAAAGACUGGGGCUCAACCCCAGGAGUGCUUCGGAGACUGGGAGACUUGAGGACGGAAGAGGGCAGUGGAAUUCCAAGUGUAGCGGUGAAAUGCGUAGAUAUUUGGAGGAACACCAGUGGCGAAAGCGACUGCCUGGUCCGUUUCUGACGCUGAGGCUCGAAAGCCAGGGGAGCAAACGGG